GGAGAGCUGGCCGAGUGGCCGAUGGCGGUGGUCUUGAAAACCACUGAGGUGUCAAAGCCUCCGGGGGUUCGAAUCCCUCGCUCUCCGC
rnacentral:tRNA from 1 species